CCUGCCAGUAGUCAUAUGCUUGUCUCAAAGAUUAAGCCAUGCAUGUCUCAGUACAAGCCAAAUUAAGGUGAAACCGCGAAAGGCUCAUUAAAUCAGUUAUGGUUCCUUAGAUCGUACCCACAUUUACUUGGAUAACUGUGGUAAUUCUAGAGCUAAUACAUGCAAACAGAGCUCUGACCGGAGACGGAAAGAGUGCUUUUAUUAGAUCAAAACCAAUCGGCGGCGGUGUUUCGGCAUCGUUUGUCGUCCUAUUUGGUGACUCUGAAUAACUUUAUGCUGAUCGCAUGGUCUCGUACCGGCGACGCAUCUUUCAAAUGUCUGCCUUAUCAACUGUCGAUGGUAGGUUCUGCGCCUACCAUGGUUGUAACGGGUAACGGGGAAUCAGGGUUCGAUUCCGGAGAGGGAGCCUGAGAAACGGCUACCACAUCCAAGGAAGGCAGCAGGCGCGCAAAUUACCCACUCCCGGCACGGGGAGGUAGUGACGAAAAAUAACGAUACGGGACUCAUCCGAGGCCCCGUAAUCGGAAUGAGUACACUUUAAAUCCUUUAACGAGGAUCAAUUGGAGGGCAAGUCUGGUGCCAGCAGCCGCGGUAAUUCCAGCUCCAAUAGCGUAU
rnacentral:rRNA from 1 species